GUGACAGCCACCGUGCUCACCGUCAGGAGCUGGACAGUCCCGGGGCCUGAGGAAGCGCUGCAGCCACCCACCGAAGCAGGAGCACUGUAUUGAAGUUACCAAAGCCCCUCCCUCAGUCUUGCCAAUGGACCAACCACAGGCCUCUCUCACUUCAGAGGAGUAAAACGGCCCCUGCGGGGCUUCUUGACCAAACCACAGUUUAAAGAGGCGGAGACAGGUGGGAGUCGGGGGCGGGAAACAUCCAGAAAGCAGUGAUGCACCAAGUGUGGAGACAGAAGAGUUUCCAAGCAGAGCGCUGGCAGUGGCUGCUCCCCCUUCCUCCAGUGAGCCUGCUUUUCCAUACUGGAAGAAGAUGAAAUGCACAUUUCAGAAUAACAACUGAUUGACAUCAGAGAAGAUGGAAAUCUAUAGCCAAAUUUUAACAAAAGUCUUUCCAUAAUUGGUGAAUGAAAUUUAGUUAAAACAGCCAAUAAAGAAAAUUAUGGAUUUAUGUUUCUUCAUGAGACAUAUUCCUUAGUUGCAAAAACCACUACAACAAAACACUGGAGAAAAUGAAUUAACAAACAUUUAAAUGAUUGUUGGACUAUAAAGAAAGCUG
ensembl:lncRNA